rnacentral:misc_RNA from 1 species
GAUGAGAACGCAGCGAAAUGCGAUAAGUAAUGUGAAUUGCAGAAUUCAGUGAAUCAUCGAAUCUUUGAACGCACAUUGCGCCCGCCAGUAUUCUGGCGAGCAUGCCUGUUCGAGCGUCAUUUCAACCAUCAAGCCCCAGGCUUGUGUUGGAGCCCUGCGGCUGCCGCAGCCUCCCAAAACCAGUGGCGGGCUCGCUAUCACACCGAGUGCAGUAGUUUACUCUUCGCUCAGGGCGUGUGGCGGGUGCUAGCCGUGAAACCCCCAACUUCUCAAGGUUGACCUCGGAUCAGGUAGGAAUACCCGCUGAACUUAAGCAUAUCAAUAAGCGGAGGA